rnacentral:rRNA from 1 species
GACGAACGCUGGCGGCGUGCCUAAUACAUGCAAGUCGAGCGCAGGAAAUCGACGGAACCCUUCGGGGGGAAGUCGACGGAAUGAGCGGCGGACGGGUGAGUAACACGUAAAGAACCUGCCCUCAGGUCUGGGAUAACCACGAGAAAUCGGGGCUAAUACCGGAUGGGUCAUCGGACCGCAUGGUCCGAGGAUGAAAGGCGCUUCGGCGUCGCCUGGGGAUGGCUUUGCGGUGCAUUAGCUAGUUGGUGGGGUAAUGGCCCACCAAGGCGACGAUGCAUAGCCGACCUGGGAGGGUGAUCGGCCACACUGGGACUGAGACACGGCCCAGACUCCUACGGGAGGCAGCAGUAGGGAAUCUUCCACAAUGGACGAAAGUCUGAUGGAGCAACGCCGCGUGAACGAUGAAGGCCUUCGGGUCGUAAAGUUCUGUUGUAAGGGAAGAACAAGUGCCGCAGGCAAUGGCGGCACCUUGACGGUACCUUGCGAGAAAGCCACGGCUAACUACGUGCCAGCCGCCGCUGUAAUAC